CUUCAGCAUAAUCGUUUUCAACAACAUUUCAAUGGAUAUUUAAGAUAUUGUUUAAAAAAAGAAUUACACUUUGUGAUAUGUUUUUGUUUUCAUCUGUCAUGAAAAAGUUCAUUAAAAAAAGAAACGUGAGGACAGUGAAAUUUUCCAUCAUUACAAAGUUAGAUUACAUCAACAGCUUGUCAUCCAUGUUCAGAACUCGACAUUGCAAAACACAUUGAGAAAUACAGAAUGACAGGAUAAGAUUAUUCCAUCUCCAUCCUUAUAAAGAGACGGGUAACUCACGACUGCUCAGCAGAGACGUCCACAUCACCUCUAGAUCUCACAGUGCUCACUUUGCUGUCUGUGACACCAGUUUAUUUUUUGGUUCUGACCAACAAGCUGUGGAAAGGAUGAAGGGUGUUAUGAUCUUUCUGGUGUUGACACUGGUUGUCAUCAUGGCUGAAGCCCAGACAUAUGGUGAUGUUGUCAAUAGUGGGAACACAGGAACAACUGGAGGUGUCCACGUAGGAGGCAAAGAGACACAGCCCCCAUUCAGCAUCACAACUGAACCAUUCGAAUGCAGAUGCACAUGUGGAACAACCCAAGGUGAAGUGGCCAGCUAUAAAUUGAUGCGAUACUAUGAAGACUGAGUCUGUUUUUGAUUUUGAUGAUAUAGUUUGAGCUAUAUCUUUGUGAUUUGCAAAGCAAGAAAUAAUUGGAUCAGUAAACAUGAAGUUCUUGAGAUGUAGUGAUUUUAGUCACAGCUCCUAUUGAUGUUAAAAAAAUUAAUAUUGCUUGAUAGUGAAAACUAUCCUGCUGAAUAAAGCUGCAUUCCAAAAGACCAUCUCUGUGUUGUGGUGUUAUUUAAGUAAACAUGUGCUUGUAAUUUUACUGGUGAUGAUGAUCAGAAACAUUGUCUUCAUUAAGUCAGAGGUAAAUGUUUAUAUUAAGUAGAUUUAAAUAAUGAGUGUGUUGGUGUUAUCAGUUUAUUAAAUGAACAUUCUUCCUAUUCGAUCAGUAGAUGAAUGUCUUUUUUGAAUACGGCCAACAGUCCAGACAUUCAAGUUACUAUGAGGUGAAAUGAGUAAAAAGAAAUGAACUAAUACCUAGAAUUGAUUAGCUGGAACCAUCAAAUGUGGGGAGAGCUUUAACAGUAAGAAUGUAUUUUUAUCCCUAUCUUUUUUUUUUUUUUUUUUUAACAAUAUCUUUAUAAGCUUUUCCUAGAUACAUUGACAUUACGCAGUGUUUAUGACAGGGAAAGUUCAGCGAUUGUCAAAACCCUCCCUCCCAAACUAACCCUUGCCAGUCUUCACCCUUCCCAUCCCUCCCCAGCUAGUCUAUAGCAUAUCCCAUACAAAAAGAAAAGAAAAAAAGAUAUAAAAAAGGAAAAUUGAAUAAAAAAUAAAAAGUAAAUAAAUUAAAAAAAGAUAAAGUGGUACAAUAAAUUUAAACAAAAAAUAAAUUAAAUUAAAGCAGAAGGUUACAGUGCAGAUGAUUAGGGUUAGGGUUAGCAGACAAGGCUUCAACAGUGAUGUACAGUCUGCUCCUCAAAAACAACAUGUUGGGAAAAGUUAUUUGAUACCUGUUGCUGUUACACCAUAAGUGGUCAGCUGACAGUGUGAUGUUUUCAAAGUACCCCUCAAAGCUACUCCAACAUUUGUUCUAAAGAUGGGGCUUUUUUUAAGUUGAACCUAAUCUUUUCAGAGGCCAUUUCUGAAGCAGUUUCUUUUAACUACAUAGAGACAGUAGGAGGGUCCUCUUCCAUGAUAUAGCUAUGCAUUUGUUUCCAGCAAUCAGAGCU
ensembl:lncRNA